rnacentral:rRNA from 1 species
GAUGAACGCUGGCGGCGCGCCUAAUACAUGCAAGUCGAGCGAACGGACGAGAAGCUUGCUUUUCUGAUGUUAGCGGCGGACGGGUGAGUAACACGUGGAUAACCUACCUAUAAGACUGGGAUAACUUCGGGAAACCGGAGCUAAUACCGGAUAAUAUUUUGAACCGCAUGGUUCAAAAGUGAAAGACGGUCUUGCUGUCACUUAUAGAUGGAUCCGCGCUGCAUUAGCUAGUUGGUAAGGUAACGGCUUACCAAGGCAACGAUGCAUAGCCGACCUGAGAGGGUGAUCGGCCACACUGGAACUGAGGCACGGUCCAGACUCCUACGGGAGGCAGCAGUAGGGAAUCUUCCGCAAUGGGCGAAAGCCUGACGGAGCAACGCCGCGUGAGUGAUGAAGGUCUUCGGAUCGUAAAACUCUGUUAUUAGGGAAGAACAUAUGUGUAAGUAACUGUGCACAUCUUGACGGUACCUAAUCAGAAAGCCACGGCUAACUACGUG